rnacentral:rRNA from 1 species
CGAUUACGGCUCAGUAACACGUCGAUAACCUACCCUACGGUCAGGAUAAUCUCGGGAAACUGAGUGUAAUACCUGAUAGGGGAUGGAGACUGGAAUGUCCCAUCCUUGAAACUUGAGCCGUAGGAUGGGUCGGCGGUGGAUUAGGCUGUUGGUGGGGUAAUGGCCCACCAAACCUUUGAUCCAUACGGGCCUUGAGAGAGGUAGCCCGGAGAGGGACACUGAAAUACUGGUCCCAGCCCUACGGGGUGCAGCAGGCGCGGAACCUCCACAAUGCACGAAAGUGUGAUGGGGGAAUCCUCCGUGCCCAUGCUUAGCAUGGGCUUUUGCCAAGGUUAGAGCCCUUGGCGAAUAAGGAGUGGGUAAGACUGGUGCCAGCCGCCGCGGUAACACCAGCGCCCCAAGUGGCGAUCACGUUUAUUGGGCCUAAAGCGUCCGUAGCCGGACGAGUAAAUCCGCUGUGAAAUCGUUGUGCUCAACGCAACGGCGUGCACUGGACACUGCUUGUCUCGAGACCGGGAGGAGUCAGAGGUAUGCCGUGGGGACUGGUAAAAUGGAAUAAUCCACGGUAGACCACCAAUGGCGAAGGCAU